GCGGAAGUAGCUCAGUUGAUAGAGCAUUAGCCUUCCAAGCUGAGGGUCGCGGGUUUGAGCCCGUCUUCCGCU
rnacentral:tRNA from 1 species